UACGUAGGGGGGCAAGCGUUGUCCGGAAUCAUUGGGCGUAAAGAGCGCGUAGGCGGCCCUGUAAGUCCGCUGUGAAAGUCAAAGGCUCAACCUUUGAAAGCCGGUGGAUACUGCAUGGCUAGAGUACGGAAGAGGCGAGUGGAAUUCCUGGUGUAGCGGUGGAAUGCGCAGAUAUCAGGAGGAACACCAAUAGCGAAGGCAGCUCGCUGGGACGUUACUGACACUGAGGCGCGAAAGCGUGGGGAGCGAACAGG
rnacentral:rRNA from 1 species